UAAUCGAGAGGUGAGAUUGGAUGGUUUUA
rnacentral:piRNA from 1 species